CUGGGAUGCCCCUGUCUGCACGGUUGCACACGGCACACAUGCACACACACACUACACACAGACCACACUACACACUACACACCACACACUACACACAUACCACACUACACACACACCACACUACACACCACACACACUACACACCACACACGGUGCACACCACACACUACACACCACACUACACACUACACACCACACACUGCAUACACACCACACUACACACUACACACCACACACACACCACACUACACACCAUACACUAUACACAUACCACACUACACAGUACACACCACACACACUACACACCACACAGUACACACUGCACACCACACUACACACUACCCACCACACACUACACACACACCACACUACACACUACACACCACACAUACUACACACCACACACUAAACACAUACGACACUACACACUACACACCACACACUACACACACACCACACUACACAGUACACACCACACACUACACACACACCACACUACACACUACACACCACACACACUACACACAUACCACACUACACACACACCACACACACUACACACCACACACGGUACACACCACACACUACACACACCACACACUACACACUACACACCACACACGGUACACACCACACACUACACACACACCACACUACACACUACACACCACACACUGCACACACACCACACUACACACUACACACCACACAUACUACACACCACGCACUACACACAUACCACACUACACACUACACACCACACACUACACACACACCACACUACACAGUACACACCACACCACACACUACACACACAUCACACUACACACUACCCACCACACAUACUACACACCACGCACUACACACAUACCACACUACACACUACACACCACACACUACACACAUACCACACUACACAGUACACACCACACUACACACUACACACCACACACACACCACACACACUACACACCACACACUACACACGCACCACACUACACACUACACACCACACACUACACAUACACCACACUACACACUACACACAAAUACUACAUACACACACCACACAGUACAUACCACAUACCACACCCUACACACAAACACACACUACACACUACAUGCUAUGCACACACACCACUCACUGCGCACACAGACUACACACUAGAAACAUCACACACUACACACCACACCACACACCACACACUCCACACCACACACCACACACCGCAGACACCACACACACCACACAGCAGACACC
rnacentral:lncRNA from 1 species